rnacentral:rRNA from 1 species
GACGAACCGUGCGAACGUUAUCCGGAAUCACUGGGCUUAAAGCGCGUGUAGGCGGGCCGCCCCGUCGGCUGCUGAAAUCCCCCGGCUCAACCGGGGAACGGGCACCGAUACGAGCGGCCUGGAGGGGGGUAGGGGGGUCUGGAACUUCCGGUGGAGCGGUGAAAUGCGUUGAGAUCGGAAGGAACGCCCGUGGCGAAAGCGAGGCCCUGGACCCUUACUGACGCUGAGACGCGAAAGCCAGGGGAGCGAACGGG